rnacentral:lncRNA from 1 species
AUGCUUCCCUGCUCACCAUCCGCGCAGAUGGAGGGAUGCGAGGAGGAGGAGGAGAAGGACGCGCACAUGCAAACAGAGUGCAACAGACUGACAGAGGAGAGAGACGAGGCCGAGAGACAACUCAAACACAUCAAGAGAGGUAAGUCCAGCUUGUUUACACCUUCUCAGACUCUCAAACGUACGUGUUUUGAAGCAGGAAAUGAAAUUAAAGAAUCUUUGCUAAACAACAAAGUUAACCUUCAACAGCUAUAACAACCAAUAAUGGAGUGACAGACAUUUAUUCUGCUGACAUUAGUGCUCUAUAGAGGAUGAAUAAUACCAAGUCUAGUGAUCUUCUUAGUUUUAAAAGCAGUCAACUCUGAAAAACCUUCACACAUUUCUCAUCAGAAUCAGCUGAUUGUUUUUUUUUUGUGCAACAACUUGUAUAUCUAAAAUUUUUUUACCUUCAUACUAUGAAUAUUUUCCCAGUUACAGGCCCUAAAAGUACAUGGGUGUGGCUUCGAAUUUUUCUUAAUGGUUUUUAAGCCUUAUAACUUUAUAAAACAGAAGAUAUCUAUACUACAUUUCCUGGUCCUAAAAACAAGCUUUGUACCCUGGAUGUUUGAUCUGUACCCUGAAGAUCCAGCUACUCCUGGCAUUUCCUGUCUGCUCACUUUGACCUUGGGAUAAACUGGUUUAGAGUUUCUGGAUCAGCCCAUAUUCGUUAAUGGUUUCUAACUUACUGCUCAUUUUUCUUCACCUGUCAGAUUUCCAUUUAGUAAAGUCUUCAUCCUCCUAGAGGUUGCCGAAAACUAUAAUUAUCAUUUGAAAGUAUAAAAAAAAUUAAUUGGUGCCAUUAAUCCUUCAGCGCACACAGACAAAUACUUAUGUCCAGAUAUCAUAUACCACAGAGCAGCCUGACACCUCAUCCCAGCGAGCCUUCACUUCCUCCCUCCCUCUUCACGUUAUUCGUCUUUGCCUCUGCUGGCAUGACAUCACCAACAUCUUGUCCUCUGAACAGGUGUGUUUAAGAGGGUGUCACCCGUUUCUAUGGUGACUGUCAGUUUAGUCGGCCAGUUGUAGGGGAGCACUUUUGUUCUGAGGAGUUUAACUCCUGAUUCUAAAACUGAGGAAACGCC